CAGUAGCCGCGGGAAAACGGAGGAUCCAAGCGUUAUCCGGAAUCAUUGGGUUUAAAGGGUCCGUAGGCGGUUUAGUAAGUCAGUGGUGAAAGCCCAUCGCUCAACGGUGGAACGGCCAUUGAUACUGCUGAACUUGAAUUAUUAGGAAGUAACUAGAAUAUGUAGUGUAGCGGUGAAAUGCUUAGAGAUUACAUGGAAUACCAAUUGCGAAGGCAGGUUACUACUAAUUGAUUGACGCUGAUGGACGAAAGCGUGGGGAGCGAACAGGAUUAGAUACCCCGGUAGUCCCUGUCUCUUAUAC
rnacentral:rRNA from 1 species